rnacentral:rRNA from 1 species
UGGGGAAUAUUGGACAAUGGGCGAAAGCCUGAUCCAGCCAUGCCGCGUGUGUGAAGAAGGCCUUUUGGUUGUAAAGCACUUUAAGUGGGGAGGAAAAGCUUAUGGUUAAUACCCAUAAGCCCUGACGUUACCCACAGAAUAAGCACCGGCUAACUCUGUGCCAGCAGCCGCGGUAAUACAGAGGGUGCAAGCGUUAAUCGGAAUUACUGGGCGUAAAGCGCGCGUAGGUGGUUAUUUAAGUCAGAUGUGAAAGCCCCGGGCUUAACCUGGGAACUGCAUCUGAUACUGGAUAACUAGAGUAGGUGAGAGGGGAGUAGAAUUCCAGGUGUAGCGGUGAAAUGCGUAGAGAUCUGGAGGAAUACCGAUGGCGAAGGCAGCUCCCUGGCAUCAUACUGACACUGAGGUGCGAAAGCGUGGGUAGCAAACAGGAUUAGAUACCCUGGUAGUCCACGCCGUAAACGAUGUCUACCAGUCGUUGGGUCUUUUAAAGACUUAGUGACGCAGUUAACGCAAUAAGUAGACCGCCUGGGGAGUAGCGCAAUA